AGUGAACGCUGGCGGUAGGCCUAACACAUGCAAGUCGAACGGCAGCACAGUAAGAGCUUGCUCUUACGGGUGGCGAGUGGCGGACGGGUGAGGAAUACAUCGGAAUCUACUUUUUCGUGGGGGAUAACGUAGGGAAACUUACGCUAAUACCGCAUACGACCUACGGGCGAAAGCAGGGGAUCUUCGGACCUUGCGCGAUUGAAUGAGCCGAUGUCGGAUUAGCUAGUUGGCGGGGUAGAGGCGCACCAAGGCGACGAUCCGUAGCUGGUCUGAGAGGAUGAUCACACACACUGGAACUGAGAAACGGCCCAGACUCCUAGGGGAGGAAGCAGUGGGGAAUAUUGGACGAUGGGGCAAAGCCUGAUCCAGCAAUACCGCGUGGGUGAAGAAGGCCUUCGGGUUGGAAAGCCAUUUUGUUGGGAAAGAAAUGCAGCAGGUUAAUACCCCGCUGUUAUGACGGUACCCAAAGAAUAAGCACCGGCUAACUUCGUG
rnacentral:rRNA from 1 species